AAAAAAAUCCUUGGACGAGUGUUUGUAAAGAACCAAUGCCAAAACGUACUAAGUUUUAAAAGCUCUCAUUUAAACAACUAAUAUGGUAAACUAUACCUGUUUCUGUUGCAUCUACGCCUGCAACUACAAUCUCUGACUUAUUUUUGCAUCAACAACUGUGCAGCAUAAAAUUGAGGAAACCCAAGCAGUUGAGACGCAUUCAAACAAUGGUUUGGAUACAAAAUGUACAACUUUGGAAGACUUGAAUCUUUAUUAAACGUUUCCAUUAUUUCACCAAUGCAUUUUGCACAUUGUUGAGGCAUUGUUAGGUCUGCUGGAGUAUGAGGGAUAUUAUAGUAUGCCCGAAGCAUCUCAGUUGCUAGAUUAUAAAUAAUCUGUUUACUUUUCUCUGUUUCACAAUAAACAUCAGCUUCACAAAUAACCUCACAAAUACUUUCUUCAAAUAAAAUUUAUCCCAUUCACUCCAACUAAAGCAUUUUUUCUUCAAUCUGAGCUGGACUAGCUUUACUUGAACAUGCCAUUUUGUAAAUAAAAUUUAAUGUCUUUACCUACAAAAACUGGAGAAUUAUAUUACGUACAACACAGUCUUUAAAAUUAUUUGUUCCACAGUUUGUAUAUUUCCAUAGCACACACAGAACUGUCACAAAAAUAUAAACAACAAAAUAUUG